UACGAAGGGGGCUAGCGUUGUUCGGAAUUACUGGGCGUAAGGGCGCGUAGGCGGUGUGUCAAGUCAGGCGUGAAAGCCCCGGGCUCAACCUGGGAACCGCGCUUGAGACUGGCACGCUAGAGUUCGGGAGAGGAUGGUGGAAUUCCCAGUGUAGAGGUGAAAUUCGUAGAUAUUGGGAAGAACACCGAUGGCGAAGGCAGCCAUCUGGACCGACACUGACGCUGAGGCGCGAAAGCGUGGGGAGCAAACAGG
rnacentral:rRNA from 1 species